AAUCAGCGUGUUUGAGUCCACUGCUAGACAUAGGCCAUUCCCAAGAGCACGCCACUACCACGUUCCUCCGCCUUCCUCAUCCACCCACUUCCCGCUAACCUUCUGUCAGUCCAUCGGGUUGGAGGUUAUCCCACACUGUGCUUGCUGAUACGCGUUCUCCACUCCAGAACGCGUCUGCCCAGCAGCCAUCGGUUCUGCGGCAGACAUGGCCUACCCACUGCCACUUCAGCUAGUUAAUUCAUUGUUCUAUGUCAGUCA